UACGAAGGGGGCUAGCGUUGUUCGGAAUUACUGGGCGUAAAGGGUGCGUAGGCGGCUUAUUAAGUCAGCGGUGAAAGACCAGGGCUCAACCCUGGAACUGCCAUUGAUACUGAUAAGCUUGAGUAAAGUUGAGGUAGGCGGAAUUGACGGUGUAGCGGUGAAAUGCUUAGAUAUCGUCAAGAACACCGAUUGCGUAGGCAGCUUACUAAGCUUUAACUGACGCUGAGGCACGAAAGUGUGGGGAUCAAACAGG
rnacentral:rRNA from 1 species